rnacentral:rRNA from 1 species
UACGGGGGAGCAAGCGUUGUUCGGAUUUACUGGCGUAAAGGGCGCGUAGGCGGUCGUGACAAGUCACUUGUGAAAUCUCCGGGCUUAACUCGGAACGGUCAAGUGAUACUGUCGGACUAGAGUACAGAAGGGGCAACUGGAAUUCUACGGUGUAGCGGUGAAAUGCGUAGAUAUCGAGAGGAACACCUGCGGCGAAGGCGGGUUGCUGGGCUGAUACUGACGCUGAGGCGACGAAAGCCAGGGGAGCGAACGGG